GGGGGUGUAGCUCAUGGUAGAGUGCUUGCCUAGUAUGCAUGAGGUCCUGAGUUCGAUCCCUAGCACUGACG
rnacentral:tRNA from 1 species